rnacentral:rRNA from 1 species
UACAGAGGUCUCAAGCGUUGUUCGGAUUCAUUGGGCGUAAAGGGUGCGUAGGCGGCGCGGUAAGUCGGGUGUGAAAUCUCGGAGCUUAACUCCGAAACUGCAUUCGAUACUGCCGUGCUUGAGGACUGGAGAGGAGACUGGAAUUUACGGUGUAGCGGUGAAAUGCGUAGAUAUCGUAAGGAAGACCAGUGGCGAAGGCGGGUCUCUGGACAGUUCCUGACGCUGGGGCACGAAGGUCAGGGGAGCAAACGGG